rnacentral:rRNA from 1 species
GACGAACCGUGCGACCGUUAUUCGGAAUCACUGGGCUUAAAGGGCGCGUAGGCGGGCCGAAAAGUCAGGGGUGAAAUCCUCCAGCCCAACUGGAGAAGCGCCUUUGGUACUGUCGGCCUCGAGGGGUGCAGGGGCAUGCGGAACUCAGGGUGGAGCGGUGAAAUGCGUAGAUAUCCUGAGGAACACCGGUGGCGAAAGCGGCGUGCUGGACACCUUCUGACGCUGAGGCGCGAAAGCCAGGGGAGCGAACGGG